rnacentral:rRNA from 1 species
UGGGGAAUUUUGGACAAUGGGGGCAACCCUGAUCCAGCCAUGCCGCGUGAGUGAAGAAGGCCUUCGGGUUGUAAAGCUCUUUCGGCGGGGACGAAACGGUCCGUGACAACACCACGGACUAAUGACAGUACUCGCAGAAGAAGCACCGGCUAACUACGUGCCAGCAGCCGCGGUAAUACGUAGGGUGCAGGCGUUAAUCGGAAUUACUGGGCGUAAAGCGUGCGCAGGCGGCUCCUUAAGUCAGAUGUGAAAUCCCCGGGCUUAACCUGGGAACUGCGUUUGAAACUGAGGGGCUAGAGUGUGGAAGAGGGGGGUGGAAUUCCAGGUGUAGCAGUGAAAUGCGUAGAGAUCUGGAGGAACACCGGUGGCGAAGGCGACACGCUGGGCCGCACCUGACGCUAAGACGCGACAGCAUGGGGAGCAAACAGGAUUAGAUACCCGUGUAGUCCCUGAGCGGGCUGGCAAGGCGCAU